AAAAGAAAAAAAAAUUGUGUCUGUGAAAUGCUCCAAAAGUUUGGCCAUUUUGAGGCACAGGCUUUAUUGAUAGAGCUCUUUCUAUAAUUUCCCAGCAUACCUGCCUCACUGUUACCUUCCUUUCAUUUUUCACUCUCUUUUUCUUCUCAGUGCCAUCCUGCCUUGGCUCCCAUCAUCUGCAUCUGAUGCCUUUCCUUUCUUUGUUUGCCAGUCUCCUUUGCAGUGGGACAUGGCUAAGCUCUGUAGAGCUGCUCAGAAACUCAUUGUCCCAUCCUGUAGCUGUAAUACAUGCCUCCAGAUUUUCACAGAGUAAUUCUACUCUCCCUUCCAAUUUAAGCCUACCAGAAAUGUUAGUGAAAGGACAUUAAAAAUGUAACAGGUGACAUGUGUAGCUAACAUGGAUCUGGAGAAAUAGGAAGCAGUAGAAUUAAAUGUUUCCCUUUUAGGUUCAAUUGUAUUUGUUCUUGGGUUUUGUUUUAUAUAUUCUCCAAAUAAAAACAUUAUUUUUUCUAACCAAGAAAAAAAAAGAAAACAUAUAUCCACACAAAACUUUGUCCACAAAUGUUAUAGUGGCUUUAUUCAUAACAGCUAAAAAGUAGGAAAAAUCCAGAUGCCUUUAACCAGUAAAUGAAUAAACAAAUUACAGUACAUUUAUACCAUGGAAUCUUAUUCAGAAUCAAGUAGGAAUAAGCUAUACAUAGAUACAAGUUGGACAAUUCUCAAAGGCAUUAUACUAAAUGCCAGUCUCAAAAUGUUGCAUAGAAUACUAUUCCAUUUAUAAAUCAUUCUCAAAAAGACAAAAUUAAAGUGUCAAAAAACAUAUUAGUGGGUCUCAGGAGUUAAGGGUGGUGAUAGGAUGUGACUACAAAGUAAUAGCAUGAGGGAGUAUUCUGGAUACUGUAGCUGUUCUUUAUCAUGAUUAUGAUAGUGUUAUACGAAACUAUGCCUGUGUAAAAAUUCAUGGAACUGUAGACCAAAAAUAUCAUUUUGCUUUAUUAUAAAAACUGAAUUUAAAAUAAAUUUAAUAUAAAAAUACUGACCAUGUAGUUAAUUAAGUAUGGAUGCAAACCACUCAAAAUAGUGGAAUGGAGCUAAUAUAGUGAACCUUAAGUAUUCAGCAGAGGAGUUGGGGAUUUAUUCAUCAAGUAGUGGUGAGGAAAUGAACAUUUAAGUUGAGCAGCGAAAAGUCUAUUGGGAUCUGAUUUAUACAAAUAUCACUUUGAGAAAAGUGGACAAUAGAUGGAAAGAAGUGAAACAGAAAACUGGAGAUAUUCUGUAUGAGAGAUAAUAAACAUCUAAAAGUAGGAAAAGGAGAGCAAGAAGAGAAAAGGUUUGGUGAGGUCUAGAUUUGUUACACAUUAUGAUAAAUCAUCACUGAUUUGGUUGGCAGGAAAAAAUUGCUUUGUUAGUAAGUUCUUUAUUUAAAAGGCUCCUUCCUUCCUGUGUUGUGGCUAAGAGCCCAACUUUAUAAAAUUCUAGAACAGCGGGACUUUGAGUAUACAUUUGGUAGGCAACACUCUGUCUUGUGUCAGAAUGGAAGUUCUGGAAUGCAGACCCUGGGACACAACUAGCCAUGCCAAAGUCUGCAGACUCAUCACCACCUAACUGUUCUGUGAGUGCUGGCUCUGUCCCCAGAUUCUCACAGUAAUAAUAGCCGACACUUACUGACUGCUUACCAUGUGCUAGGCCCUGUUUUAAGUGCUUUCUGUGCACUGUUUGUUUAAUAAUGUUAAAAACUCUCAGAGAUUAUACCAUUAUUCUGUUUGGAGAUGUAGUAACUAAGACACAGACUUGUCCAAGAUUCAUAUAGAAAGUAGGUGAUUGAACCAAUAUUGAAAACUUAGGUAGCCUGACUUCGGUGCCAAGGCUCUUGAAUAUUAUGCUGUGACACCUCAUAAGAAGCCAAAGAUCCUUGAAAGAAGCCUCAAGGAGCCAGGAAUGGCAGGCAGCCACGAGCUACACAUCAUGGGGAUUAAAUUCAAAGUGUAAAUGAAAAGAGUAUAAUGAGAUUGAAUGUGUUCAUGCACAGAUUUUAUCAUCUUGUUACUCAAAAGGCUGAUGGCUCCCGUCCCUGCGUGGAAAUUUCCUAAAGAGGUAACAGUUCUAGGACACACGUGAGUAGCAAGUGGGAUUGCCCUCCCCACUUCUUUUUUUUCCUGUUUUCAGUAUUUCCUUCUUUCUUCUCCCUCUUUCCUGAAUCUAAGUCCUCUCAAUCUGGUAACCCCAUCACUAAUGGACAUUUUUUUUACUUUAUUAAUUUUAUGUUAUUUUUACAUGUGAUCUAUAGUUGUAAUACAUUUUUAAGUCUACGAUACAGUAUUGUUGACUGUAGGUACGUUGUAUUCAUUGGGGAAAUCUAGAACCAACAUGUAAACUAGAAAGAAUUCUAGAACAGGAGUUGUGAAAAGCUUCUUCUAGACAGGAGUUGAAGCUUACCAUCUUAAUGUCAUGAGGAAUGUAUCUUAAUGUCAUGGGGAAUAUUGCUUAAUAUUUCCGAUGUCUGGUUUUCUCACCUUUGUCAAGGGGGUAGAGCCAGAUGAGCUCUGAGAUACCUGAAAUCCAUUGGAAAUACCUUCAAAUCCAUGAACACAUCUUUUCUAGUUCCCAGUGUUCCUGUGGGAGAAUACAGAGAUAUCAUGAGUUCACAAUAAUGGGAGAGUAGAGAAGAGGGAGAGGAUGAAGAAAAGAGCUUAUUCAGUGAGAGAGGAUUUAAUUCUAACCCAUGACAUCUGUGGAGACUUUAGGAUGAGGUGAGAAGUGACCAUAAUUUGAAUAUAAGGGAAGAUAACUUCAUGUUAGAGGCUUGAGUUUGAUUCUUGGAUCACUGGGCAAGCAAGCCUUGGAGCUAGACUUCCUGGGUUUGCAUCCAAGUGUCACUACUUACCAGCUGUGAUAUUUAUAUGAUUUAGAAUCAUCCAUAAAAUGGGGAUAAAGUGGUAAUUUGUUAUGAUUAAAUGAGUUAACAUAUAUAAAUAUCUUAGAACAGUGUAUGGUAGUUAGUUAUGUUUCUAUACAGAGAAAUAGUAGGUGACUAGGUAAAGUUUUGAUACACUUUUUGUAGAUACUAUUGAAGAUGGAUGCUAGAGCUUCAAGAGUCAGUUGUAGGUGAAACAUAUGCUCUUGAGGUGUCUUCUGGGCUAGAAACAAGCAGGGUUCAGACCCUCUCCCUCUCCUGAUGUCCCUGUCUGUUUAAUUGAGAGGUUUUCUCUGCAGAAAUUUUCCCUAGGGCUGAACCUGAAGGUUCCUGUUGGAGGAGAAGUUAAACAAGUAUUGGUUUUCUCAAAUGCUCAGAAGAGGCCUGGCUCAUAGUAGACACUAAAUAUAUAUAUACACACACACACACCC